CCCCGCCGCCCGCCCGGCGACCGGCGAGGCAGCGCCCGGCGGCGGGCGGGAUAAUGCGGCUGCCCAGCCCGCAGGCACCGCCAGCGGGGCGCCCCCGCCGCCGCCGCCAUGUCCCCCCCGGCCUCGGCGGCCGCCGCCAGCGAAGGAGGCAGCAGCACGCCCGUGCCUCCGGAGGAGGAGGCGGAGGGGGCCCGAGAGGAGCAGCGGCCAGUGAAACAGUCUCUCAGCAAGUCCCUGUGCCGAGAGUCACACUGGAAAUGCCUAUUGUUGUCCCUCCUCAUGUAUGGCUGCAUGGGAGCCAUGACCUGGUGCCAUGUCACCAAGGUGACUCGGCUGACCUUUGAUAGUGCUUACAAGGGCAAGUCCAUGAUGUACCACGACAGCCCUUGUUCCAACGGCUACGUCUACAUCCCCUUAGCCUUCCUGGUGAUGCUGUAUGUGGUGUACUUGGUGGAGUGCUGGCACUGCUACACCCGCAACGAGCUGCAGUACAAAGUGGAUGUGGAGAGUGUGCAUGAGCGUGUGCAGCGGAUGCAACAGGCAACUCCCUGCAUCUGGUGGAAGGCCAUCAGCUACCACUAUGUCCGCAGGACCCGGCAGGUUACCCGCUACCGCAACGGCGAUGCCUACACCACCACGCAAGUGUAUCACGAGCGGGUCAACACCCACGUGGCAGAGGCUGAGUUUGAUUAUUCCAACUGUGGAGUUAAAGACAUCUCCAAGGACCUCAUUGACUUGGAGAGCUACCCGGCCACACGGCUCCGCUUCACUAAGUGUUUUAGCUUUGCCAACGUGGAGUCGGAGAACUCCUACCUGACGCAGCGGGCCCGCUUCUUCACAGAGAACGAGGGCCUGGAUGACUACAUGGAGGCUAGGGAGGGGAUGCAUCUCAAAAACGUGGACUUCAAGGAAUACAUGGUGGCCUUUUCUGACCCAGACAACCUGCCUUGGUAUGUAUCCCACUAUGUCUUCUGGGUGGCAGCUCUGCUGACGCUGUCCUGGCCACUGCGGGUGCUAAAUGAAUACCGCACCUCCUACGUCCAUUACCACGUGGAGAAACUCUUUGGGUUUGACUAUGUGGCGGUGACGCCCGCCGAGGAGCGCACCUUCUGCCGCAGGAUGCCCCGCGUCAACACAGUGGACAGCACGGAGCUGGAGUGGCACAUCCGAUCUAACCAGCAGCUGGUGCCCAGCUACUCGGAGGCAGUCCUGAUGGACUUGGUGGGCCUGUCUGGCUGUACCAGCUACUCCGCUUGCCGGUACGGGGGCUAUCGGCAGAACUGUGAGCGGUGCCACAGGACUAUAAGCAGCUCUUCCAUCUUCUCCCGCAGUGCCCUGAGCAUCUGCAAUGGCAGCCCCAGGAUCCCAUUCAGCAGCAGCCGCUUCUCCCUGGGCCGCUUGUAUGGCUCUCGACGCAGCUGCCUCUGGCAGAGCCGAAGCGGGAGCCUGAAUGAUCAGAGCUGCCCUACCGAGCAGACCCGCCUGUCCAGCCAGGUGACUGUGGAGGAGGAAGACCCUCCUCCUUACCAGGAUGCCCUCUACUUCCCCAUCCUCAUUGUGCACCGCAAUGAAGGCUGCCUCAACCAUGACCACCGUCACCUCCACCGCAACGGGUCCUGUGUGGAGACCUCGCUGUGAAAGCAGAGGGCAGUGAGAUCUCAUUAUCUGUUGCUGGGCCCGAGCCAGUGCAAGAUCUGGGGAGAGGAGCACAGGGGAGGGAGAUGGCCCGAGAGGACAUCAGGAUGAAGCGGACAUGACAUUUUGCUCCAUCAGCCAGUGAGAGCUCCCCACACUGUGGCUCUGACCUCCCAGAAGGGUGAGUUCUGAUGCUCGCCCUGACAUGGCACAGAACUCUAGACCAACCACCACGUGCAAAAAAAACCCCAAACCAACCCCAAAACCGUAAUUCAUGGCAUCAAGAUUCAGAAGGGGGAAUAAAAAGACAGGCCUGAUGCAGGGAUGGGGGUACUUUGGCUCCCAUCCCUGGCUCCAGGCUGACUUGUGCUCUAGGGAACCAGCAGCCACCAGAAAGCACCCUGCUGCACCUCUGCCCACCUUACUGUGCACGCCGGUGGAGGGGAACAGGCCCCUUUGGAGUGGCUUGUAACUGCCUGUGCCUAAAGGUCUGGGGCAUCUAGGCACAUGGGCUGAGCAGCAGGUUAGAGCAAAGGCUGAAAGCCACAAAUCCAGAUGUUUCCCUUCCCUCCAACCGUUCCCUACCCUCCCCACUUUUAGAACAUGCUCCGACUGUUACUCUGUCCUCACUGCUGGGAAUGGCACCACCUCCAGAGGAUCCCAGGCUCAGCUCCUUAGGAAGCUUCGGCACACCAGCUCUGAGAAGUCAGCAUCCCCUAGCACAGCUGCUCCACUAAGAAGCGUUGUGGCCAUGGAUGUGAUCUCAACUCCCUCAAAAGCAAGCUGACAAGAAAACUGACCUCUGCCACACUGGGAGAGGAGCCUUCUCCCACAGGACUGUAGCCUUUCUACACAUGAGGGAAAAGAGGUCCCAAGGACAGAACUGGACCUGCAAGAUCUGUGGCCUCAUGGCCUCUCCUUCCUCCUUCCCUCCUCACCUCGUCUCUCUGUCUUGGGGCAGUGACAGUUUCUUUGUGGCAUUCAGCAAGCUCCUUUUCCUGCAGCUCAUCAAUGGGCUCUGCUAACAGGUACAUCAUCCACCUAUGCAACACUUCCAGAAGCUGCCAAGUUUUCAGGAGCCCAUUACAGUCUACAGCAUGGCCAUCCAGCACUGAGAAUAAGCACAGAGCGGCUGCUGGAAAGCUAAGUGGGUUUUAUUCCCCCUCCUGAGGAAGACUGUUUUUUGUUGGGGCUUCAUGUUCAUUUGUUUGGUUUAUGUAAACUUCACUUGGGGAAAUGAAGCUUGUGAGAAAUUGGUGCCCAUCUUGAACCCUCCCCAGUCCUUUGAACUUUGGGAAUGGAUAGAUCACCUACUGUGAUUAUAAUUUAGCAGACCUUGUAGAGCAAAGUAACUUCGCACACAGCCACAUGAGGUUCUUUCAGUUUCCAUCAGCACAAGCUGCUUAUGCAAUCUUAGCUACUCACAUUAGUGAAAGAAAAAGCCUAGCUAGAAUGUGGUGAGAUGACUUAGUAUUUUGUAUCAGUCCCAUGGUCCUGAUAUCCAUUAGCAGCGCCAUCGGCUGCCGUCCCAUGAAUUCAGACUUUGGAUGGCAGCCCAUGAACUGGUCAGCAUGGAAAUGUCUGGGAAAAGCCAAGCCUGAGCCUAUACAAAUCUCCAGGAGCAGGUGCAGGAGAGGAUCAGCUGAAAGUAGACAUCACCUCCCACUCAGCCCAGCCAGGGCCUGGUGGGCUGUUUGCACAGCACCUGUUCUCUUGGGGGGAGCCUGUCCACAGGGGCUGAGCAGUGGGAAAGGCAAGUAACAGUGUGUCUGAUGAAGCAGCGUGCACAGCACCACUCCAGCUGGCUGGGGGAAAAGCAGUGCCAGCCCCAAAAUAACACAAUUUCACUUUGGAAAUGCCAAUGGCUUUUUUUGAACUGAAAGGAAACUGAAAGGCCUUAACAGUUGUGAGAAGUGUUUCAGGUUGCUGUUCCUUGCUUUAAAAGUUUAACUAUUUAUGAUGAGCUGGAUUUCAACACCCCAGCCAGCUGUGUCAGAAUGUGCAGCUGCUGGUGGAAAAGAAAUGCUCCAGGAAGAUUGGGAUAGAAGCCCUGUGGCCUUUACAGUGGGGUUGGCUGAUCAGCAGUGGAGGCUGGAGUUUAAAGUCUUCCUCUGCCCCUGGAGAUGUGAUCUGGCUGUCCACCCAGGCGUGUGUGCAGGGCAAGGGUGGGAUUCUGUGUGCUUGUGUGCGUGGUGGGGACCCACAGUCCUACAGGGGGUUGGUGUAUCUGUGGCUUUGGUUCGUUGUCACUCACCUGUGCUCGUGGAAAGGGUUUUGCAGGGUGACAGAAUGUUGUUUGUUCCUUGUGCAAGGAAACUCCUGACCUGGUUUUUAUGAGAUGGUGUGAAGCGUCACACUGCAGCAAGUAGCAGGGAGCAAGGAUAAAAGUGUGGAAUAAGCUGUGUUUGAGAGCAAGCCUGAUACAGGAGAGCUGCUGGAUCUGCUCCCUGGCCAACACAGUCCAGCUCUUUUUACCCUCUCCAAACCCGACGUGCAAGCUGUCACUCCUCUGAGCUAGCCAAAGCCUCACCUCCUCCGAGGUCACACAUUUGCAUCAUCUCAGUCCUCUCUCUACUAGGUGCCACGGACCAGCCACAGGAUGCCAGUGGGCAUGUGUUGGCAGACAAACCUCACCAUAACCUGCUGGUUUGCCUGAGCACAGCCUUCCAACGAGUUUUGCUUCCCUGACAUGCUUCAUGCUUUCCUGGUGGAGACAGCACAGCCUGCAGAGCAUUGCAGCACAUCCUGGCCUCAAUUUGGCAUCACUUUAUGCUUUCCCAGAGAAUUUCACAGCACUUCUUGGAACCUUUGUAGACAGGGUAAGUUCAACAGAACAAAGUCAGAAAACAGAAGGCCUUGACAUGGUGUCCCUGAUCUCCAGAGCCCUAGUGCUGUACCUGGGGAGGAGAAUCAGGUGGGCUACUGGGGCAGUGCAGGGCCUGGGGAUGGCAUCACAGUCCUCUCAAGAAGUCUCCAAACAUGGGCUCUGUGCUUCACUGCUGGGACUAAGGGCAACUUUUCUGUGGGCUGAACAAGGUGCAGCUAAUGGAGGAGCUAUCUGAGGAGGGCAGAAUAGCUUGUGAAUGCUUAGCAAGAUGUGUGGAGAGGAGGGGCUGUAGGAGAAGGACACUGAAAGGCUUUGCAGAUGAGGUGGUUUUUACAGGAGACACAAGGCAAGACAGCAGGAGGCUGCUGUGCUGGAGCAGCGGUGCUGUGAGACAGGGAGGGUGGAGGGGAAGGAGAGGAAACAGGGCAUUUGAUGAAGCAGCCUGGGAACAAAGUGGUUUUUCAAAGCACAUUGCAUGUUCUGGCCAAGGAGACAGGCAGAAAGUAUUUCCAAGCUGAGGUGCCCAGGCCAAGCCUCACUGCAUCAUCAGAGCAGCAAUGUUGCCUCCAAGCCCAGCAGUGACAGCUUGAGCACGUGUCACCAAACCACAAUGGCUAAUGCAGCCACAAGGUGUAAAUGUCACUAAUGAAUAAAUUGCCUUGUGCCUUGGAGAGGCUAAUCCAUCACAGCUGGGGACAGGGAUCUGACAGGCUUGGCUAUUUCAGGCAUAGCCUGUAGGGAGGAGGAACACUUCAUUUCUGAGCAUUCCCCC